rnacentral:miRNA from 1 species
CAUCAACCGGGGAUUGUCCU